UCGGACUUUAUGUUUUGAAUUGUAGUUUCACUUUCCAUAUUCGGUAUUUAUUCAAAUGUUAUCUCCACGUGGUAAAAUUCACGUGAUGCAGGAAUAUAGUAUCUUGGAGUUGGGCUAUUUCUUUUCGGGCGGGGACUCUAAGCAAACACCAUGCAUGUGUAUAACGGCACUGUAGAUUUUCGUAUUAAAUAAAGAAAGUUGCCGUUCCGGUACAUGAAUAGAUUGGUUAGAAAGCAAGGUUUUAAUUUUAAUUAGAUUUGAAAGAUUAAUUCGAGGGUUGAAAAUAGAGAGCACAAAUAAAAGGGGGGAGGUGUCCACAGGGAAUAUUUGUAUCUUAUGAACUCUAUAUUUGAAAAGUUUAUUAUUUUUAUCU
rnacentral:lncRNA from 1 species